GAUGAACGCUGGCGGCGUGCCUAAUACAUGCAAGUCGAGCGAACAGACGAGGAGCUUGCUCCUCUGACGUUAGCGGCGGACGGGUGAGUAACACGUGGAUAACCUACCUAUAAGACUGGGAUAACUUCGGGAAACCGGAGCUAAUACCGGAUAAUAUAUUGAACCGCAUGGUUCAAUAGUGAAAGACGGUUUUGCUGUCACUUAUAGAUGGAUCCGCGCCGCAUUAGCUAGUUGGUAAGGUAACGGCUUACCAAGGCAACGAUGCGUAGCCGACCUGAGAGGGUGAUCGGCGACACUGGAACUGAGACACGGUCCAGACUCCUACGGGAGGCAGCAGUAGGGAAUAUUCCGCAAUGGGCGAAAGCCUGACGGAGCAACGCCGCGUGAGUGAGGAAGGUCUUCGGAUCGUAAAACUCUGUUAUUAGGGAAGAACAAAUGUGUAAGUAACUAUGCACGUCUUGACGGUACCUAAUCAGAAAGCCACGGCUAACUACGUG
rnacentral:rRNA from 1 species